ACAGGUCUGCGGUGUGCGUGGUAUGGAAAAUUCGUAAUCCACAAAGUAAUUUACGGGAGUGCUUGUUCGCGGAAAUAGUCAAGGUCUGAUUUUAUCGGAAAGUACGAUGUUCCGCUUCGGCGCACCCACCUGCGAGAAGCGGGUUAAUACUUUUUCAUAACACGGCACAGGCGGAUUUGUU
rnacentral:other from 1 species